GGCUUAGGAUGAACGCUGGCGGCGUGCUUAACACAUGCAAGUCGAACGGGAAGCGGCCCUUCGGGACUGCUUCUAGUGGCGGACGGGUGAGUAACACGUGAGGAACCUGCCUUGGAGUGGGGAAUAACGGCUGGAAACAGCCGCUAAUACCGCAUGACACCAUACCAUCGCAUGAUGGAGUGGUCAAAGAUUUAUCGCUCUGAGAUGGCCUCGCGUCUGAUUAGCUUGUUGGCGGGGUAACGGCCCACCAAGGCGACGAUCAGUAGCCGGACUGAGAGGUUGACCGGCCACAUUGGGACUGAGACACGGCCCAGACUCCUACGGGAGGCAGCAGUGGGGAAUAUUGGGCAAUGGGCGCCAAGCCUGACCCAGCAACGCCGCGUGAAGGAUGAAGGUUUUCGGAUUGUAAACUUCUUUUAAGUGGGACGAUGAUGACGGUACCACUUGAAUAAGCCCCGGCUAACUACGUGCCAGCCGCGGC
rnacentral:rRNA from 1 species